GUCCUUGACAUUCAGUGGGAUGAGAAUCUCAGAACUGACUACUGGGGACUCCCAGGCUACAGAUCAGAUUCAUCAACUAGCAACAAAAACCUCCGACGUUUAAGCACCUCACUUUUCAACACAGACUGAUCCCUGAGUUGAGAACAUUUAUGCUAUUAAAAAAACCAUUUUGGUAGGUGUGAGUUGCUUGUCAGAAAUCCGUUCUGAAGCUUGAGUGCAAAGGAAGCAGGGAACUAAUGAUGAAUAAGAAUGGAUAUCUUGAGGAUAACAAUGGAUAUGGCAUCUUCAAAAGCUGUGGCAUUCUGGGCGUUUUCUGUUCGUGUACUGCGUGAUGAAGAUGAGCAGCUCUCAGGUAAAGCUCAGGGGCUGAGUUUUGACGAACAAAUCAGGGUUUCUUACAAGUAUAGAAGGAGCAUCGAUGUCAGGAGCUGCUGGCACCUCUUCCUUUUCCCGUGGAAUCCUUCGGUGCUUUUCUCUCGAGGGAGGCGGGGUCCUAGUGUCCUGCAACUGGAUUUGUUCAAAUGGAUCUUGAUAGCCUGGGGGCCUGACAAAGUUCAUGGGACACCCUGGUGACUGCAAGUUCUCACUCUGAAGAUCUGAUUGUAGGCCUGAACCAAAAUUUCUGUUUUGUUCUCCUGUCUAUUUGCUUCUUAAAUGAUGAAAGUUAUUCUUUAAAUGGUGUUGUCUUUGAGUCUUAUGCACAUCCACUUUAGCAGUGUUCAGACACUAUGUGCUUGGGAUGUUUUCAGACAUUGUUAAAAUAUUUCUGUUCUGUUGUGUGCCUAAACCUCAUGAUUGCUCUGAUUAUUGUGUUAGGUUUUUACAUGUAGUGGUUUUCUACCUAAAAUGGAGGAGACUGUCACCUGGGUUUUCAAUCAUUGUGGUAUUUCUCUUAACUCAGAUUUUUAAGUCACAGUAACUGUUGAAACUGUUCAGGUUAUUUUUAAGGAUGUAGGUAGAUUUGUUUAUUUUUUGCUGGACACAAAGUAUAAUUUAUUUUGCAAACUUGGCAGCCUAGUAUUACUGAAAGCUUUCAGUAUGAUGAUACUCUGAUGUAAUAAAAUAAGUAGGAAAAGACA
ensembl:lncRNA